rnacentral:rRNA from 1 species
AUUGAACGCUGGCGGCCGGCCUAACACAUGCAAGUCGAGCGGAUGACGGGAGCUUGCUCCUUGAUUCAGCGGCGGACGGGUGAGUAAUGCCUAGGAAUCUGCCUGGUAGUGGGGGGCAACGUUUCGAAAGGAACGCUAAUACCGCAUACGUCCUACGGGAGAAAGCAGGGGACCUUCGGGCCUUGCGCUAUCAGAUGAGCCUAGGUCGGAUUAGCUAGUAGGUGAGGUAAUGGCUCACCUAGGCGACGAUCCGUAACUGGUCUGAGAGGAUGAUCAGUCACACUGGAACUGAGACACGGUCCAGACUCCUACGGGAGGCAGCAGUGGGGAAUAUUGGACAAUGGGCGAAAGCCUGAUCCAGCCAUGCCGCGUGUGUGAAGAAGGUCUUCGGAUUGUAAAGCACUUUAAGUUGGGGGGAAGGGCAGUAAGUUAAUACCUUGCUGUUUUGACGUUACCGACAGAAUAAGCACCGGCUAACUCUGUGCCAGCCGCCGCGGUAAUAC